AUAUAUAUUGGCUUAUAAGGGAAGAAAGCCCAUUUUUCUUCUUCCCCUGGCAGACGUCCAACCCCUUCCCCAUCAAACCUCCAUUCUUUUUAUUUGCAAGCUCAAAUCUUAGCCUCUAAAAUCUCAAAUAUCAUUCAUAGAUCACAGAUUGAGGUUCGAGUGGCUUUAUAAAGUAAACAAGCAAGGAUCUCUACUUCAUUAAGCAUACCAGGUUGAGCAAUGGCUGAUGAAGAUGAAGUGAUGAGCGGAGCUUUUGUCAUAAGUUUAAUAAAUGGACUCUUGGAUACAUGUCUCCAUACAUGUAAUCAGAUUAUGUUAUUCCGCUGCAUACUCUCAAGUAAUAUGUCUUUAAGCUAAGUCGGGUUCAUCCGAACUUACGAGUUAAUCGAGUCCUUGCGACUAAACAACAGUUAUCUUAUGAUUGUCCCUCCUUAACAAUGAUUUGAUUUCGAGCCUUCA